rnacentral:rRNA from 1 species
UCCGGUUGAUCCUGCCGGACCCGACCGCUAUCGGGGUGGGGCUAAGCCAUGCGAGUCGUACGCCCCGGGGACCGCCGGGCGUGGCGCACGGCUCAGUAACACGUGCCUAACCUACCCUCGGGAGGGGGACAACCCCGGGAAACUGGGGCCAAUCCCCCAUAGGGGAGGGGUGCUGGAAGGCCCCCUCCCCCAAAGGGGCUAUGGCCGAUCCGCCAUAGCCCGCCCGAGGAUGGGGGCACGGCCCAUCAUGGUUGUUGGCGGGGUAAUGGCCCGCCAAGCCGAUAACGGGUGGGGGCCGUGAGAGCGGGAGCCCCGAGAUGGGCACUGAGACAAGGGCCCAGGCCCUACGGGGUGCAGCAGGCGCGAAAACUCCGCAAUGCGGGAAACCGUGACGGGGCCACCCCGAGUGCCGCCCGAAGAGGGCGGCUUUUGCCCGGUGUAAAAAGCCGGGCGAAUAAGCGGGGGGCAAGUCUGGUGUCAGCCGCCGCGGUAAUACCAGCCCCGCGAGUGGUCGGGGUGCUUACUGGGCCUAAAGCGCCCGUAGCCGGCCCAGCAAGUCCCCUCUGAAAUCCCCAGGCCCAACCUGGGGGCUGGGGGGGAUACUGCUGGGCCAGGGGGCGGGAGAGGCCGAGGGUACUCCCGAGGUAGGGGCGAAAUCCGAUAAUCUCGGGAGGACCACCAGUGGCGAAGGCGCUCGGCUGGAACGCGCCCGACGGUGAGGGGCGAAAGCUGGGGGAGCAAAGGGGAUUAGAUACCCCUGUAGUCCCAGCUGUAAACUAUGCGGGCUGGCUGUUGGGCGGGCUUAGAGCCCGCCCAGUGGCGUAGGGAAGCCGUUAAG